GAAGGAUUAGGGAGGAGCUGUGUUUGUGAGAGAACUGAUCAAAGAGAGAGGCAGGGGAUUUACAGGGAAACAGCAAGCGAGUAGAAUCAGAGAAUUAGUGAAUCACAAAACGAGGAAGAGAAAAUUGACCUCUAAAACAGUUGCUGAUCUAUGACAUUUUAAUGGAGCUACAUUAAAGAAUGGUACACAGAAGGUACACAGAAGAAAAGAAUGUUACACUCUGAAGGACAGAUUAAGCGUAUUGCAUAUUCUGUUCUCAACUAACACUGGAAAAGGGAACAGAUAAAAAAAAAAGCUUUGAAAAUAAGCCAGGAGAUUACAGAAACGUGAAAAAGAGAAACAGUGACUUUCACUAAGAAGUUUCUUCAUCAUGAAGGAUCGGCUAGAUCAACUGAAAGCGACAAGAGACACUGAUGAUCAAGAUGAAGUUGACAUCUCUAUUGACAAUGCAGCUUUUAUGGAUGACUUUUUUUCUCAGAUUGAGGAGAUUCGUCAGAACAUUGAGAAAAUUGCAGAGUGUGUUAAUGAAACAAAGAGGCUACACAGUGUGAUCCUGUCUGCACCUCUCCCUGAGCAAAAAACAAAGGAUGAGCUGGAGAAUCUAACAAUGGAAAUAAAAAAAACAGCAAAUAGUGUGAGGUCACGUUUAAAGACAAUGGAACAAUCCAUUGAACAGGAUGAUAUGCAGUCCUCAACAGACCUUCGAAUACGAAAAUCUCAGCAUUCUGUUUUGUCUCGGAAAUUUGUGGAUGUUAUGACUAAAUACAAUGAAGCUCAGGUGGAUUUCAGAGAGAGAAGCAAAGGAAGAAUACAACGACAGCUAGAAAUUACUGGCAAAAGUACCACAGACGAAGAAUUGGAAGAAAUGUUAGAAAGUGGGAAUCCUAAUAUUUUUACUUCUGGGAUAAUUAAUGACUCACAAAUAUCACGUCAGGCCCUAAGUGAAAUUGAAUCCAGACAUCGAGAUAUUGUACGACUGGAGAGCAGCCUAAAAGAGCUCCAUGACAUGUUUAUGGAUAUUGCAAUGCUUGUGGAAAACCAGGGUGAAUCUUUAGACAAUAUAGAGUUAAAUGUUAUGAAAUCUGUGGAACAUGUGGAGAAAGCACGUGAAGAAACCACAAAAGCUGUGAAAUACCAGAACAAAGCACGUAAGGGUACACUUAUAGAUCGUAUUGAAAAUAACAUGGAUGAGUCAGUUGGAUUUGUGGAACGAGCUGUGGCAGAUACAAAGAAAGCUGUAAAAUACCAAAGUGAGGCCAGAAGGGUAAGAACAACCACUACAAUUUUGCUCCUGUCAUUGAUACCUAACCCUUACCUAUCCCACUGUGUUCGGCUUCAUACCCAAAAUAAACACGGUAGGUCUAGCAUACCUUAAAAAUACUUAAAAAAAAAACUUUUGAUGUGGCAUAAAUACAACAUGUGACUCCCUUAUAUCUAGUUGUUUUCUCUCUGUUUUUCUCUCUACAUCUUCUUUGUUCUGACUACAUAGUUAAUAAAAUUAACUGACUUACAGAGAUCCUUAAGGAAGGUACUAACAAUUUGUAGUAUGCCAUUAACUAUCUGGGACAUAUAAAAAGGUUACCUUAAUGAACCAAAUUGUGAAUUACACUGAAAUACAGUGUAAUUGAAGGGAUUAAUAAAUUACAGGAUCAACUCCACAUAAGGGCAGGAAGAGAGAAUGACAGUGACUGUGACUUUAAGACAACACAUUACAAAUGCUUGUUCCUUCCCUCAAUGUUCCCUCCCUCAGAAAAUUAUCAUAAUUGGUGUGGUGGUAGCUGUGCUGCUAGGAAUUGUGGCUUUGAUUAUCGGUUUGUCUGUGGGACUGAAGAAAUGAAACUAAAGCUGAUCCCUGUAUCAGGAAAAUGCACUUUUGAACAUUCCUGUGACUCCCUCUUCCUCCACCAGCAAAUGAUCCCAGCUACCUCUCCCUGACCUCUGCUUCUGUGGCUAAUACUGUUUCGAUGUUUGCCAGGGAAUGGGUCAAGUUCAUGACUUACAAGAUUUCCAUGACCAAUUCUGUUCCCUGAAACCUUAUCCUUACCCAAAGAGCCUGUUGUUGCUAGAAAUAGUCUGUUACUUCAUGUGCUUUGUUGAAUUUAUUGAAUCAUUUCUGCUUCUUUCUUAAAUAAGGAAGAACUCAUUUGAUUCAAUGAGGUGUAAAACUUUUGCAAAUUGGAUAUCUAAGGACAAUACAGACUGGCUGACUGAUGCAACUGCUUCCACCUCAGUAUUAAGUAAAAAAAAAAAAAAUUUAUUAAAUUAUUUACAGAAAACUAUUUACAAAAUCAAAAUGGGCAUUGCUGUAUAAUUAUUAUGCAAGACAAUUUUAUAUAUAAAUAACUUAGUGCAGAUCUAGGUAUAUUGUCUCUACAAUUGCUAACACCUCAUGACAUAAACAUAUUUACUGUAUACCUUAAUAUUUUUUUUAUCUGUAAAAGGCUGUUAUAUACAGAAACCCAGGAACAUUAACCUUUCCUUUCUGCCUCUUAUUGUCUGUUCAUUCUCAUAUUUUACUUUUCUCUUUCUGACCAUCUUUCCUCUUCUCCUCUGGCCUCUGUAGAAGAAGAUAAUGAUUCUGGUUUGCUGUGUAAUUCUUGCAAUUGUCAUAGCAUCAACAAUCGGAGGAAUUUUUGCUUGAGGUGAGAGCAUAAGACACAGUUGUCUGAGCCUGAGGCAAAGAAAAGUGAAGGAAUUGAUACAGUCUGUAAGCUAAUAGCUCUGUUAUAUAUAAUUAUGUAUAUAUGACUAUAUGUAUAUUAAAUUAUCAUUCAUCCUAAUCAUUUUAUAUUAGGAAAUUCUUUUAAAACUUUUUUGGGCCUGCUAAAAUAUAUUAUCACAGCUAAAGUGUGGCUCCGUUAUAACAGUCACCAUACCUUCUGUUGCUCUACUGAACAUAGUGAAUUUAUUAUGUUUUUUGUUUAUUUUAAACAACACAGUUACAACAAUAUGAAUGAGGCUAAUAAUUGCUACAGACCAAAAAAGUGAUAUUGCUACAUGUUUCAGGUUUACUUUUCUUCUACUAUAAAUACCUCAACCAGAGGGAAAGAAAAUCCAUGUUCACAAGGUGAAGGAAGAUGAUGAAUGAUAAGAGAUACUGAAGAUUUUCAUUGACAUUAAAGAAUUUGAAAAAUGG